GUGCUCCUUUCGGCAGCACAAAUACUAAAAGUGGAGCUAUACAGAGAAGACCAGCAUGGCCCCUGCCCAAGGACUCCAUGCAAAUACCUGAAGCGUUCCUAUUUUUG
ensembl:snRNA LOC120094862 U6 spliceosomal RNA